ensembl:snoRNA small Cajal body-specific RNA 14
GUGUGAUCCUGAGAACAAAUUCAAGAAAUAGUAUGCUGCAGUGCAACCAUAGGCAGUGACACACAUCAAAACAUAUGGUUCCUGCCGACAGGGUCUGUAUAGUUAUCAAGUUGUCUGUGCGAUGGCUCCAUACAUG